CGCGGGGUGGAGCAGCUCGGUAGCUCGCUGGGCUCAUAACCCAGAGGUCGCAGGUUCGAAUCCUGUCCCCGCUA
rfam:Mycobacterium sp. E2978 contig_21, whole genome shotgun sequence.